rnacentral:lncRNA from 10 species
GAGGAAAAGAAGAAGAUGACAGAGGAAUGGAAAAAAGAAUAGCAUAUGCAAAAUUAUUAAUUUGGCAUUGUGCUCAGAAUGAGGGGAGUGUCUCGCCCUUUCCCUGCUGCCUCUGUCUAACAAAGAUGUGACUCUGAUCAUCAUAUAGAAAUAUAGAAUUCCUAAAACCAAUAUAGAAUGCCCAAAGAGCCUGAAUAGCCAAAGAAAUCCCAAGCAAAAAGAACAAAGCUGGCAGCAUCACAUUACCCAACUUCAAACUAUAUUAUAAAGCUAUAGUUACCAAAACAGCAUGGUACUUGUACAAAAAUAGACAUAUAGAUGAAUGGAACACAAUAGAGAAACCAGAAUUAAGCCCAGACACCUACAACCAUCUGAUGGUCAACAAAGUUGAUUUAAAAAAUCAAUAGGGAAUGGACUCCCUAUUCAAUAAAUGGUGCUGGAAUAACUGGCUAGCCAUAUGCAGAAGAGUGAAACUGGGCCCCUACUUUUCACCAUAUACAAAAAUUAACUCAAUGUAUAUUAAAGAUUUAUAUGUAAGACCUCAAACUAUAAAAAUCCUAGAAGAAAACUUAGGAAAUACCAUUCUGGACAUCAGCCUUGGGGAAAAAAAAAGUAUGACGAGGUCAUCAAAAGCAAUUACAACAUAACCAAAAAUUUACAACUGGGAACUAAUUAAACUGUAGAGCUUCUUUACAGCAUAAUAAACUGUCAUGGGCAUCAACAAAAAACUUGCAGAAUGGGAGAAAGUAUUCACAAAAUUUGCAUCUGACAAAGGUCUAAUAUCCAGAAUCUACAAGGAACUUAAACAAUUCAACAAGCAAAAAACAACCCCAUUAAAAAGUGGGCAAAGGACAUGAACAGACACUUCUCAAAAGAAGACAGCCAACAAACAUAGAAAAAAAUGCUAAAUAUCACUAAUCAUCAGAGAAAUGCAAGUCAAAACCACAAUGAGAUACUGUCUCAUGCCAGUUAAAUGGCUAUCAUUAAAAAGUCAAAAAAUAAUACAUGCUGCAGAGGCUGCAAAUAAAAGCAAAUGGUGGUAAUGUAAAUUCAUUCAACCAUGUGGAAAGGAGUUUGGAGAUUUCUCAAAGAGCUUAGAACUAACCUUCAAUCCAGCAAUCCCAUUACUGGAUAUAUACCCAAAGGAAAAUAAAUGAUUCUACCAAAACUACACACACACUAGUAUGUUCAUUGCAGCACUAGUUACAAUAACAUACAUGGAAUCAACCUAGCUGACCAUCAAUGGUGGAUUGGAUAACGGAAAUGUGGUAGGUAGAAAACAUGGAAUACUACACAGCCAUAGAAAAGAACAAAAUCAUACCCUCUGAAGCAACAUGGAUGCAGCUAGAGUCCAGUAUCCUAAGUGAAUUAACACAGCACAGGAACAAAAAAGCAAAUACCACAUGUUCUCUCUUAUAAGUGAGAGCUAAACAUUGGAUACAUAUUGGCAUAAAUAUGGGAACAAAACAAUAGACAUUUGGGACUACUAGAUGGGUGAGAGAGAGAGAGCAAAAGUUGAAAAAUUACCUAUUAGGUACUAUGCUCACUACUUGGGUGAUAAGAUCAUUAAUACCCCAAAACUCCACAUUCAAAAUAUGCUUUAUACAGCUAUACAUGUAACAAAACUGUAUAUGUACCCCCUGA